AAACCAAUAAAGUUUUCUUUAUUGGGGUUGCGGACAUAUCAUAACGAAGAGGUAUCGUAAUUGAAGAGGUUUGGAAAGACCCACCACAGAAGGUAAUAGUCCUGUAUGUUAAACGAGAAGACUUCAGAUAUGAUCCAGAGUACCACGGGACACGUGAAACCCUGUGGGAAGCAGGAGGGACCACCCUCCAAGGCUAAAUACUACCUAGUGACCGAUAGCGUAUAGUACCGUG
rnacentral:rRNA from 1 species